rnacentral:rRNA from 1 species
UCUGCUCAAUGAAAUUAAAUAGCCGCAAUUAUAUUGUGCUAAGGUAGCAUAAUCAUUUGUCUUUUAAUUAAAGACUAGAAUAAAUGAUUUUACAUUUAAUUUAUUUUUUUUCAUCUAAAAAUUUAAAUUUUUUCUAAAUAUAAAAAAAUAUUUAUUUUUAAAAAAGACGAAAAGACCCUAUUAAACUUUACUAUAGUUUAACUGGGGAAGUUAAUUAAUUAUAAUUUUAAUUUAUAUAAUAAAUAUCAUCCAAUAAUAUUGAUUAAAAUAAGUUACUAUAGGGAUAACAGCGUAAUAUUUUUUAAAGAUCUUAUUUAAAAAAAAAAUUACGACCUCGAUGUUGAAUUAUUUUUUCUAAAAAAAGUAAAAAUUUUUAAAGAAAGUCUGUUCGACUUUUAAUUAAUUACAUGAUCUGAGUUCAAACCGGAG